ensembl:ncRNA K08B12.10 ncRNA
UGUACUCGUCGGGACGACGACGACGUUGAAGAAAGCAUCAAAGGAAGAAGUUUUGUUCUUCUCUUUGUACGUCGGUGUCUGGUCUGCUUCUCCCUCCCCAUCUUUCCAAUCUUUAUGUGUCCCGAUUGACGACCUCU